CACGCACACAAACCCAAAGUUCAGACCGUCUCAGUGGUGUGAGUUUGUCUGCUGUGCGAACACAAACCAGAUCCUUGUCGCCUUUCUGAUGCUGCGGUGCCUCUGAAAGUGAAUUCAAGGCUCAACAAAC